rnacentral:rRNA from 1 species
UACGGGGGGGGCAAGCGUUGUUCGGAAUUACUGGGCGUAAAGGGCGCGUAGGCGGCACUGUUAGUCAGGCGUGAAAGUCCUGGGCUCAACCUGGGAACUGCGCUUGAUACGGCAGAGCUAGAGGAUGGAAGAGGGUCGCGGAAUUCCCAGUGUAGAGGUGAAAUUCGUAGAUAUUGGGAAGAACACCGGUGGCGAAGGCGGCGACCUGGUCCAUUACUGACGCUGAGGCGCGACAGCGUGGGGAGCAAACAGG